AGGACAGCUGGCUGUAGGGCCCCGGGGCAGGUGCGCACUGCCACGUGUCCGCGCUCGGGCGAGGGGCCAGGCCGCGCUGGCGGGACCCCGUGACUGCGGACCGCGGGCCCUCUCCGAUGCACUCGCUUGUUGCUUGUCCCGGCGGCCGCAGGCGGUGGCUCUUUACAUAUUUUGUUAUCACGGAUGGAUCGCGCCUCCCAGAGUGCUGCCUGCCACGGGGUAUCGGUGAUUUUUGGGUACAGGCGGGGGCGCGGGGCAGCAUGCACCAGGGCCACAGUCCAAUCCAACCGGCCACCUGUGUGUGGGCUUUGGUUCGUCUGGGUUUUCUUAUUGCCCCGAUCUAAGCAUAUUUUCUCACUCUUUAGUGGCUGGGGAAAGUCAAAAUAAGAAUAGGGUUUCAUGACCUGUGAAAAUGCUAUGAAAUUCGAAUGUCAGCGUCCUGAUGGAGUUCACUGGGACCCGGCCCAGCCCGAUCGCGCAGCGCUGCCUGCAGCUGCUUUCGCAACACGCAGGCCGAGUGGAGGAGUACUUGCAACAUGUGACCACAGCAGCUAGGAGUAUGUGCCACCAAACCGCUUGCAAAAAGGGUGGCCGUAUAGCUUAAUGGCAGAGGAGCCCUGAAGUGCAGUGCUGGGAGCCGUGGAGCCAGCAGCAGCACACACGGACCGCCUCUCGAGUCAGGAUGCGCGGUGGCCCGAUUGAAGAGCUGUGUCCACAUCUUUGAGGAGCACUCUACUCCCUCCUGGGAGACUGGCGGGAUCAUGAGAAAGCUUGCUGCGCAGCCCUGGAACCCCAGAGCUGCACCAGCAGGGUGCCGUCUUGGUGUAGAGGGGACGAUGACGGUAGGAUGCUGCCAGCCUGGCAUGUGAUGCAGCCAGAAACAGGCAGGGGCAGCCCGGCGCAGAGUAGGUGCACAGUCACCCCUGGUGCCAGCCGCCAGCCCCAGGCCUGCUGCUGAGACCUCGGGCUUCCCUUCCCAACCUGGGGGAAGCAGGAGUGUGGCGUGAAGCAGGUGGGGAGGACUUACAUCCACCGGAGCACCCAGACCUGCGCCUCUGCUCGGAGGGGGACGGAUCCUGUCCAUCGGAGGCCCCGGCGGUGGAGAUACCUGCUGGUGAGAAGGCCAGGACAAGGAAGAGGCUGGGGACCCCCUGGGUGUGUCGCUGGGGUUUGGCCCUCCCUGGGGUAUAGACGGGGGAGGGGGGGUGCGGGUGAAGGAGAGCUGGGGAUGACUGCCAAGACCACUCAGGGUGUGGGGAGAGCUGUGGCAUCGGCGGCAGACACCGUGGGGCCCCAGGACAGGUGCAGGAAUUGGUGAGGGAUGGAGGCAGACGGUAGCCACAGGUGGGCCGCUGCAAGCAGCGAGGACCUCCGUGGACACAGAACGGAGGGGACACAGCGGGGACAAGUUCUAGCGGAGCCUGCCAGGAGGAGCCUCAGCACAUCAGGGGCAUGGGGUGGGGGGGGGGCUGUGACUGGGUUGCGCCCGGAAAACAUCAGGCGCCAAGGCCCUGGGGCAGGAACCAGCAUGGGGGCGGGGCAGGGGGAUGCCCUGCAGGCUGGGAGGGGACCCUCAGGAAGGGGCGUGAGGGUCUGCUCGGGAGGAAGACAGAUGGAGGCAGAGGAUCCCGGGGGAGCAGCCCUGUCUGCUGCUGGGUGGAGCCGACGGAGCCCAGGACACCUCCUUGGUGAGAAGGGGGUGCCUGGGGUUCAGGUGGGUGCGCGCUAGCCCUGGCCUUCCUGUCCCGGUGACCCUGCCUGCGGCAGCAGCAACAGAUUCCACUUUAUUUUCCAGGCGGAAACGGCUUUGGAGUUCCUGGUCAUAACCAGGAUUGCCAGAUCUAGCAAGUAAAAGUAACAAUAUGGCCCAAAUGUGGCACCGGACAGCUUCAUACUAAAAAAUUACCUACCUGGGUUUAAAAUUUAACUGGGCACGCCGUAUUUGAUCCAGCAAGCCGGUCCUAACAGGAAUACUAUUCCCACCCCCCCCCACCCCCGCCCAACCACCCGGCCAACAGCAAAAUAAAGAACCAGGGAGAACCGUCAGCCACCCCCCCACCCCCCAGGGGGGACAACUUGGAAAACAAGCUCAUUGUGUGUCUCAGCCCCGGUUUCACACCCAGGCUGGCGGCUCAGAACACAGACAGGGCCUCACUGUAGGUAUUGCCCUUCGAUGCGCCGUGUGCACCCCACGGACGGCCUCACGCGGGUGACCCCGGGGCCCCGCAGCACUGGUGCAGCUCUCAGGCUGCAGGGCGCUGCGCACCCAGGGGCACAGGGCACGGGGACGGUCCCCGCGGUGGCUACCUCGCUCCCGGGGCAGCCGCCUGCCCUGAGGCCCUGCCGGGCCCCUCACGUUAUUUCUUCAGGAAACGCAGUGAGAUUUUUUUUUCUUUUUGAGAUUCAUUUUAUUUUACUUUAUUUUUAAAAGUUGUUUAUUAAUGAUC